CCGGUAUUGCCAAUUUUUAACUGUCGCAUGCUGUGCAUAUUAAUGUAUGAUUUUGAAAAACAAUCAGAUUAAUCAAUGAAAUAAACAACAUCAGUUAUAGUGAUGUGUUUUACGAAUAGAUCUGUAAUGUAUUUAUUUCAAAUUGCACCUCACAAAACGAAAGUACAGCCAAUAAAUAUAGCUUAUCAUCAAGGGUUAUUCCAAACCUUUUAUAGCGGUUCACCAUGUUUUUCCUUUACAGUUAAAGCAGACAGUUGUUUGAGGUAUUGAUUUGAUAAACACUUUGUGUGGACAAAAAAUUCAGGAGAAUAAUGGAUGGUUGGAAUCCAAAGGUUAGUUUUCCAAAACCCAAACGGAUACCUUCUAUCCCACAACGGCCGCGUAUACCAGCCCCUAAACCACCAGCCCCUCCCUCUGCACCAUGCGAACAUAAGGGACCACCGGCUAAAAUGAGAGGAUUCUUUGGUUGACAACAGCAAAGUCGUAUUAAAGAUGGAAAAGAAAAUUGAUUUUAUGUGACUAUCAGGAAAAAUUACUACCUCUCUUUGUUUUAUGAUUUCUAAAUUUGAUUUAACGAUUGACUUCAAGUACUUGGACUUUAAUAAAAAAAAAAUGAUAUUACAAAAUGUAGUUGAUGCUAUAGGCUCCAAGUAAUGAAAUACAUGUACAAUAAAUAAGCUGUAGAAAUUAGAGGCUGUAUCGUUA